AGGGCGUUUUGUGCUUAAUCCUCAGACCACACCCAGUGAUCUGUUAUUCCACAGCAGAGGUGGCAUCUUCACAUCUCCUACAGACCCACCUCGGCUUCCCAAAUAAAAAAGGAGCUUUUGGGGAGAGGGAUGGUGCUGGGAACAGCCUGAAGGAGCUGCUUGGAGGGGAAAUGCAAGCAGGGGAGGGGGGCACAAAGAGAGGGAAAAAGGAUUCCAGGAAGGAAGGCGGGAUUCCAAGAAGGAUUCCAUGAAAAAAGGAAGGAAGGAUGGAUGGAUUCCAGGAAGGAUUCCAAGAAAGAAGGAAGGAUUCCAGGAAGGGAGGAAUUGUUUGGCAGAGGAUCUGGGAAUGGUUUUGCAAUGUGGCUGAAUCUCAGGUGGAUUCACUCUGGGGGGUGUUCAAUGGGCAUUCAGUGCUGUGGAUUCCAGAAACAGAUCCUGAUGUUUGAGGAGCAAAAAGGGCUUUGGUGAUAGACCCAUGGAAUUACUAAGAUUGGAAAAAACCUUGAAGAUCAUCAAGUCUAACCAUCAGGUUUGGACCUUCACCCAAGGCUCAUUCAGUAUUUCAGGAACUUCCUGCCUUGGAAUCACUCAGCAAUAUUAACAAUCUCCACUCCUUUGCAAACCAGCAAUGAAUGCAUUUGAUGUUGCCUCCUGAAACAAUGAAACGUGAUGUCAGAAACUCCUCACCACCACACCCUGCACCCAUCACAAAGAGUUUUGUGUCCUGAGGAGCCACAGCCUGAGUGCUCAGGAUUGGUCUCACUGCCCUGCAGGGGAGCCAGGACCAGCCCAAAGCCAGGCUGAGCAUCACCUGAGGCAGGAUCUGCUGCUGGCUCUGCCUGUGCAUCUCUCCCAGCAGUUUGCUUCAAGACAAGACCUGUGCUUACUUUUGAAAGAUAAAAUCGAGCAGUUGGAGUGGAAAAGGUUUCCAAGGAUGUAGAUGCAUGCAUGACCUUUAAUGUGUAAAUGGACCUCCUGGGAUCAUUUCAGAGUUCUGAAGAUUAAAUUUAGACAUGUCCUUAAAAACCUUGUGAAAUCAGGGCUGGAGGGAAUAAAAGGGAUUUGGCUGUGCUGAGCCUUCUCUGAGGACACCAGAUUUGUCCCUGCAUGUCCCCACACAUUCUGGCAGAGCUCAGCUGCUGCACUACCCACCCUGCACUGCUCAAAGAUUUUCAGGCAGCCCUAAAGAGCGAGUAAAAUCCCCCUGGCUGCACGGCACAGAGCAGAAAAAGGAGUUUUCCCUGCGAGUACCAUCGCAGCCGCUCUAG